rnacentral:misc_RNA from 1 species
AACUUUUGGCAACGGAUCACUUGGUUCUGGCAUCGAUGAAGAACGCAGCGAAAUGCGAUAAGUAGUGUGAAUUGAAGAAUUCAGUGAAUCAUCGAAUCUUUGAACGAACAUUGCGCCCCUUGGUAUCCCGAGGGGCAUGCCUGUUCGAGCGUCAUUUCACCCCUCAAGCCUGGCUUGGUGUUGGGCGACGUCCCCUUUGGGGACGCGCCUCGAAACGCUCGGCGGCGUGGCACCGGCUUUAAGCGUAGCAGAAUCUUUCGCUUUGGAAGUCGGGGCCCCGUCUGCCGGAAGACCUACUCGCAAGGUUGACCUCGGAUCAGGCAGGGAUACCCGCUGAACUUAAGCAUAUCAAUAAGCGGAGGCU